rnacentral:snoRNA from 1 species
ACGGCCCUACCCGAAUAGGAUCUGUUUUAUAGGUUCGUACCUCUGCGUCCUUAAGCUCCAAGCUCUAACACGUGUCUGGUGGGCGAACCGUGACCCUAUGGUCAGGAUGCGGCUGACAGUGGUGUAGGUGGUCGCAGGGUUGUCUGACAGUUC